AUGAGAUCAGAGUGACCUCAGGCUCAUGACCUGCAAAAAGAUUCCAAGAUGCUUUCCAGGCUCAAACCCAGACAUGAGAGCCUCAGGCAACAAAUUGGUGAACCAACGCAGGGCCUGAGAAAGGCAGAGGACAUUUGGAAGAAGCACUGCUGGUUUGGAGCUCCAUGGAAGAAGAAAAGAAUUAAAGAAAAUUAAUAUCAGAGAAGAUACUGCUACCUGCUGAGAGGCCCUGGAACUAUUCUGGAGACUGUGCCCUAUCCUGCAUCUGUCAUCACCUGCUGCUGGUUCCAGGCUCCAAAGAUGAAUUGGAGAAAUGGACUUUCCCCCUGCUUUUAUAAAGCUUGUCUGCCAUUAAAAAUUUGAACCUUG